ACUCAUAACCUUUAGACAAAUGAGCAUCUGUAAAUUCAGAUUUCACUAUUUCAGAGUCAGCCAGACCAUGAUUGAGCUUAAGGGUUGUGCUGCGGAUGCAGCCUGUGCAGUUCGGGGAGAAAGUCACUGUCUCGGGCAAUGCGGUCUGGUAUCAGGUCUGGAUGAUCCUUGCCUGACUGCGGGUUUGUGUACACCUCAAUCCGACUCUGUGUCCUGAACAGAGGCCGCAGUGGUGCAGCGCUUGUGGACGAUCCAUCAACAUCCUGAAAGGUCAACACUACACCAAGCUGGGAAAAUUGAUCCUGAUAGUCAUCCCCAGGCCUGACCGUUUGUCCUUGAGCCGUAGAUGGUCAACAAUCCGCUAGCUGUCUUGCUCUGACUGGUGCACUGAACAUGAUUUCAAU